UUGUUGGAGUAAUUCCAACCGGAGAUGAGCCUGAUGGUAGAGAUGAAGAUACAUCAAAUGCUGAACGAGAUCACACUCAGGGGGAGCAGGAAGAGUAUCAAACUGAAAGAUCAAGGUGGCCACAAAACCUUAAGGUGUACUCACGGAGACAGAGAGCUGAGGAUGAUCAAGUGCAAGGGGAGGAAGAAAUCUCUUUGAGUCAGAAUCCUGAUGCUCAAAUACAGCCAGAUUUACAUGACUCAAGUUCAAGUCCCUCUACAAGUGAUGGAAGCGAAGAGGUGCCCCACAUGGAGAGAUGCCAUGCUAGAAGAAAUGGCAGCACUUGACAAGAAUAACACAUGGGUGAUGAUGAUGAAGAGAUAUCGAGGUUAAAGAAGGCAUUGGCAUGUUCGUUUGAAGUCAAAGACCUGGGAUACCUUCACUACUUUCUUGGGAUUGAGGUUGUUUAUGGUGCACAAGGUAUUUAUCUCUCUCAAAGGAAGUAUGUACUUGAUUUACUUGCUGAGACUGGAAUGUUAGAGUGUAGACCAGCACCCACACCUGUUGAGCAAAAUCUUCGAAUAUUAGGGGAUUCUGGUGAGUCAGUGGACAAAGGUAGAUAUCAAAGAUUAGUGGGGCGCUUAAUUUAUUUAUCACAUACUAGACCAGACAUUGCAUAUGCGGUUAGCAUUGUGAGCAGAUACAUGCAUGACCCUAGAACCAGCCACUUGGAUGCUGUAUACAGAAUUUUAAGGUAUCUAAAAGGGUGUCCGGGUAAAGGCAUUUUAUUUUCUAAUUAUGGGCAUCUUAAAAUAGAAGGAUAUACUAAUGCUGAUUGGGCUGGAUGUCUAGACGAUAGAAAGUCAACCGCUGGCUAUUGCAUGUUUUUGGGUGGAAAUUUAGUUAGCUGGCGGAGUAAAAAGCAGAGUGUAGUUGCACGUUCAACAGCUGAAGCUGAGUUUAGA